rnacentral:rRNA from 1 species
UGGGGAAUUUUGGACAAUGGGGGAAACCCUGAUCCAGCCAUCCCGCGUGUGCGAUGAAGGCCUUCGGGUUGUAAAGCACUUUUGGCAGGAAAGAAACGUCAUGGGUUAAUACCCCGUGAAACUGACGGUACCUGCAGAAUAAGCACCGGCUAACUACGUGCCAGCAGCCGCGGUAAUACGUAGGGUGCAAGCGUUAAUCGGAAUUACUGGGCGUAAAGCGUGCGCGGGCGGUUCGGAAAGAAAGAUGUGAAAUCCCAGAGCUCAACUUUGGAACUGCAUUUUUACCUACCGGGCGAGAGUGUGGCAGAGGGGGGUGGAAUUCCGCGUGUAGCAGUGACAUGCGUAGAUAUGCGGAGGAACGCCGAUGGCGAAGGCAGCCUCCUGGGAUAACACUGACGCUCAUGCACGAAAGCGUGGGGAGCAAACAGG